CCUGCAGUCGAGCGGCAGCGCGGGGCAACCUGGCGGCGAGCGGCGAACGGGUGAGUAAUGCAUCGGAACAUGUCCAUGUCGUGGGGGAUAGCCCGGCGAAAGCCGGAUUAAUACCGCAUACGUCCGAGAGGAGAAAGUGGGGGACCGCAAGGCCUCACGCGAUUGGGUUGGCCGAUGUCCGAUUAGCUAGUUGGCGGGGUAAGAGCCCACCAAGGCGAUGAUCGGUAGCUGGUCUGAGAGGAUGAUCAGCCACACUGGGACUGAGACACGGCCCAGACUCCUACGGGAGGCAGCAGUGGGGAAUUUUGGACAAUGGGGGAAACCCUGAUCCAGCCAUUCCGCGUGAGUGAAGAAGGCCUUCGGGUUGUAAAGCUCUUUUGUCCGGAGCGAAACGGUGAACGUGAAUAGCGUUCGCUACUGACGGUACCGGAAGAAUAAGCACCGGCUAACUACGUGCCAGCAGCCGCGGUAAUACGUAGGGUGCGAGCGUUAAUCGGAAUUACUGGGCGUAAAGCGUGCGCAGGCGGUUUUGUAAGCCAGAUGUGAAAUCCCCGGGCUUAACCUGGGAAUGGCAUUUGGGACUGCAAGGCUGGAGUGCGGCAGAGGAGACUGGAAUUCCUGGUGUAGCAGUGAAAUGCGUAGAUAUCAGGAGGAAUACCGAUGGCGAAGGCAGGUCUCUGGGCUGACACUGACGCUCAUGCACGAAAGCGUGGGGAGCAAACAGGAUUAGAUACCCUGGUAGUCCACGCCCUAAACGAUGUCGACUGGUUGUUGGGGGUUUGACACUCUCAGUAACGAAGCUAACGCGUGAAGUCGACCGCCUGGGGAGUACGGCCGCAAGGUUAAUACU
rnacentral:rRNA from 1 species